CCUACGGGAGGCUGCAGUGGGGAAUAUUGGACAAUGGGCGAAAGCCUGAUCCAGCCAUGCCGCGUGUGUGAAGAAGGCCUUCGGGUUGUAAAGCACUUUCAGUGGGGAAGAAAGCCUUGGGGCUAAUACCCUCGAGGAAGGACAUCACCCACAGAAGAAGCACCGGCUAACUCCGUGCCAGCAGCCGCGGUAAUACGGAGGGUGCGAGCGUUAAUCGGAAUUACUGGGCGUAAAGCGCGCGUAGGCGGUCUGAUAAGCCGGUUGUGAAAGCCCCGGGCUCAACCUGGGAACGGCAUCCGGAACUGUCAGGCUAGAGUGCAGGAGAGGAAGGUAGAAUUCCCGGUGUAGCGGUGAAAUGCGUAGAGAUCGGGAGGAAUACCAGUGGCGAAGGCGGCCUUCUGGACUGACACUGACGCUGAGGUGCGAAAGCGUGGGUAGCAAACAGGAUUAGAUACCCGAAGUC
rnacentral:rRNA from 1 species